GGACGAACGCUGGCGGCGUGCCUAAUACAUGCAAGUAGAACGCUGAAGAGAGGAGCUUACUCUUCUUGGAUGAGUUGCGAACGGGUGAGUAACGCGUAGGUAACCUGCCUUGUAGCGGGGGAUAACUAUUGGAAACGAUAGCUAAUACCGCAUAACAAUGGAUGACACAUGUCAUUUAUUUGAAAGGGGCAAUUGCUCCACUACAAGAUGGACCUGCGUUGUAUUAGCUAGUAGGUGAGGUAAUGGCUCACCUAGGCGACGAUACAUAGCCGACCUGAGAGGGUGAUCGGCCACACUGGGACUGAGACACGGCCCAGAAUCCUACGGGAGGCAGCAGUAGGGAAUCUUCGGCAAUGGGGGCAACCCUGACCGAGCAACGCCGCGUGAGUGAAGAAGGUUUUCGGAUCGUAAAGCUCUGUUGUAAGUCAAGAACGGGUGUGAGAGUGGAAAGUUCACACUGUGACGGUAGCUUACCAGAAAGGGACGGCUAACUACGUG
rnacentral:rRNA from 1 species